rnacentral:rRNA from 1 species
GACGAACGCUGGCGGCGUGCUUAACACAUGCAAGUCGAACGGAAAGGCCCUGCUUUUGUGGGGUGCUCGAGUGGCGAACGGGUGAGUAACACGUGAGUAUCCUGCCCUUGACUUUGGGAUAACUUCAGGAAACUGGGGCUAAUACCGGAUAGGAGCUCCUGCUGCAUGGUGGGGGUUGGAAAGUUUCGGCGGUUGGGGAUGGACUCGCGGCUUAUCAGCUUGUUGGUGGGGUAGUGGCUUACCAAGGCUUUGACGGGUAGCCGGCCUGAGAGGGUGACCGGCCACAUUGGGACUGAGAUACGGCCCAGACUCCUACGGGAGGCAGCAGUGGGGAAUAUUGCACAAUGGGCGGAAGCCUGAUGCAGCAACACCGCGUGCGGGAUGACGGCCUUCGGGUUGUAAACCGCUUUCGCCUGUGACGAAGCGUGAGUGACGGUAAUGGGUAAAGAAGCACCGGCUAACUACGUG